rnacentral:rRNA from 1 species
AAUCAGGUAGGACUACCCGCUGAACUUAAGCAUAUCAAUAAGCGGAGGAAAAGAAACUAACAAGGAUUCCCCUAGUAACUGCGAGUGAAGCGGGAAAAGCUCAAAUUUAAAAUCUGGUAGUCUUGGGCUGCCCGAGUUGUAAUCUAGAGAAGCGUUAUCCGCGCUGGACCGUGUAUAAGUCUCCUGGGAUGGAGCGUCAUAGAGGGUGAGAAUCCCGUCUUUGACACGGACUCCCAGGGCUUUGUGAUACUGUCUCUAAGAGUCGAGUUGUUUGGGAAUGCAGCUCAAAUUGGGUGGUAAAUUCCAUCUAAGGCUAAAUAUUGGCGAGAGACCGAUAGCGAACAAGUACCGUGAGGGAAAGAUGAAAAGAACUUUGGAAAGAGAGUUAAACAGUACGUGAAAUUGUUGAAAGGGAAACGCUUGAAGUCAGUCGCGUUGGCUAGGAAUCAGCCUUGCUUUUGCUUGGUGUACUUCCUGGUCGACGGGUCAGCAUCAAUUUUGACCGGUGGAAAAAGACCAGAGGAAUGUGGCAUCUUCGGAUGUGUUAAGAAUUCUGGUUGUAUACAUCGGUUGGGAGUGGAACUGACGACCGCCGAAAGGU